UUGACUUUCUACAUAUCUUAAUUUAAUUAUCAGGCAGUGUCCAUUUCUUUAGCUAACUCUGAAGACACAAAUUCCCCUUUUACCACAUCCACACUUUCAGUUCAGCCAAGCAAUUUUCUCUAGUCUCCAUUAUCCUUCCAUGGCUAUUGCAAUUUCUUUAUCAUUUUCUUUAGACCCUCAAUCUCACCACAACUAUCAUCAUCAUUUUCACCUUAAUACUAGCUUCAAUUCACAUAAAGUUUCUAUCUUUACUCCAAACUAUACGUUCCCUUUUGUCAUCUCAUCAAAAUCCCACACUUCAAAUGUGAUUAUCCCACUUUCAACUUCUCAAUCUUCUUCAUCUUCUUCCUCAACCUCACCAUCAUUAAUCCUCCAAAACCCACUUCAAACAAGUCGAUUUCUCACAAACCAAGAACUUGAAAAGCUUGAAUCUUUAGGGAAAUAUAGGUAUUUUCAAGAAUUGGAAUCUGGGUCAUUGUGGGUUCGUGUGAUGAGGGAAGAAGAGAUGGAUGUUACUGUUUGGUUGUUGGCUGAGUCUUUUGCCGAGUCCAUGUUGAUGCCUAAAGGGUAUGUGAAAUUCUUGGCAUACUUAGUGAAACAGUACAUGAUUGAAAGAAGAGCAAUGAUGCCCCAUACUGCAACACUUCUUGGAUUCUAUAGAGAAAAUGGAGAAGAUGCAGAUUUGCAAUUGGCUGGAACUGUGGAAGUGUGCUUUGACAAAAGGGGUGCUAAUGCUAAUCCUCCCACACCUACACCUCCCAAAAACUCUCCAUACAUUUGCAAUAUGACAGUAGAUAAGCUGCUUAGGAGAAGGGGCAUAGGUUGGCAUCUGUUGAAAGCAAGCGAGGAACUAAUUUCUCAAAUGAGUUCUUCUAGAGAGGUUUACUUGCACUGUCGAAUGAUUGAUACUGCUCCACUCAACAUGUAUAGAAAAGCAGGGUAUACCAUUGUUGAGACAGACAACAUUUUUAUUUUGUUGACGUUGCAGCGACGCAAGCACUUGAUGUGCAAAGUUCUUCCAGAGUCAGAAAGCCCUUUUGAAGUUGACAAAUGCACUUCUUCAGUGGACACGUGAACAUGUAAACAUAAACAACUUUUGAGCAGCUAGUGCAACUUCUGAAUUGGAUGAAUCCUUCUUCGCGCAUAUUGAUCAGAUUUUGUGUCAUCCAUAUCAAUCUGAGAAGGUCUCAGAUCAUUCUGAAUGUAUGCAUAGUCAUACUUAGCCCUUUCGUAUUCGUGUGGAGGAUCAGCUGAAGUUCUUUGAUGCAGUCUACCAUUGAGGGCCUUUCGCUACUGUCAGUUCUCACACAGCGAGAUGCUAGGUGGAUUCUGGUCUUCGAUUUGCCAAUAUUCCACAGGUUUAUAUAUCCCUGAAAACAAUCAUGUUGGAUUUUAUAACAUGCAAGAGCUAUAUGCAACUCUGUGAAGUAAUAUGAUGCAGCACAGGCAAUCACAAUAGCAUGAAAAAUCUUGUUGCUAUAUUAAGAAGAGGAAGGAUACAAGGCUGAAACAUACAAGGAUUUAGCAUAUCCUCAGACUUGCUUCUCCGGCGUUUGUUCCACGCUGACACCAAACCAAAAGGCAUGAUAACUAUUCUUUCGAUUUAGAUGCUUGCUUGUGUGUUCAAUGAUGUAUUACAUUUGAUAAGACAGUAAACAUUGAUGGAGAAAAAGAA